rnacentral:rRNA from 1 species
AUGAACGCUGGCGGCGUGCCUAAUACAUGCAAGUCGAGCGAACAGACGAGGAGCUUGCUCCUCUGACGUUAGCGGCGGACGGGUGAGUAACACGUGGAUAACCUACCUAUAAGACUGGGAUAACUUCGGGAAACCGGAGCUAAUACCGGAUAAUAUAUUGAACCGCAUGGUUCAAUAGUGAAAGACGGUUUUGCUGUCACUUAUAGAUGGAUCCGCGCCGCAUUAGCUAGUUGGUAAGGUAACGGCUUACCAAGGCAACGAUGCGUAGCCGACCUGAGAGGGUGAUCGGCCACACUAGAACUGAGACACGGUCCAGACUCCUACGGGAGGCAGCAGUAGGGAAUCUUCCGCAAUGGGCGAAAGCUUGACGGAGCAACGCCGCGUGAGUGAUGAAGGUCUUCGGAUCGUAAAACUCUGUUAUUAGGGAAGAACAAAUGUGUAAGUAACUAUGCACGUCUUGACGGUACCUAAUCAGAAAGCCACGGCUAACUACGUG